rnacentral:misc_RNA from 1 species
AAGUCGUAACAAGGUUUCCGUAGGUGAACCUGCGGAAGGAUCAUUAUUGAAUAAACCUGAUGGGUUGCUGCUGGCCCUUCACUGGGCAUGUGCACGCCUGUCUUCUUUAUUUUUCCACCUGUGCACCACUUGUAGGCUUGAAUAGCAUUUUAAUUGGCCUUUGGGACAGCUUUGAGGAAUGCGGCCUUGGUCGCUAUUCUCUCCGAUAUUCAAGUCUAUGUUUUACUAUAUACCCAUUGUUAAACCCAGAAUGUCAUUUACAGGCCUCAAGUGUGCCUAAAACACUAUACAACUUUCAGCAACGGAUCUCUUGGCUCUC